rnacentral:rRNA from 1 species
AGCAGCCGCGGUAAUUCCAGCUCCAAUAGCGUAUAUUAAAGUUGUUGCAGUUAAAAAGCUCGUAGUUGAAUUUCGGGACUAAUAUGUCGGUCGUACUUUGUACGUACUAGCAUUAUUGGUUUCUCCCUUCUGACGAACCACGAUGUCAUUAAUUUGGUGUCUUGGGGAAUCAGGACUGUUACUUUGAAAAAAUUAGAGUGUUUAAAGCAGGCUUACGCUUGAAUACAUUAGCAUGGAAUAAUGAAAUAGGACGUUUGAUUCUAUUUUGUUGGUUUCUAGGAUUGACGUAAUGAUUAAUAGGGAUAGUUGGGGGCAUUAGUAUUCAAUUGUCAGAGGUGAAAUUCUUGGAUUUAUUGAAGACUAACUACUGCGAAAGCAUUUGCCAAGGAUGUUUUCAUUAAUCAAGAACGAAAGUUAGGGGAUCGAAGACGAUCAGAUACCGUCGUAGUCUUAACCAUAAACUAUGCCGACUAGGGAUCGGAUGAUGUAAUUUUUAAUGACUCAUUCGGCGCCUUACGGG